UAUGUGAAUAGUGCAAAAAGUCAAACCGUUGCAAGUAUUCCGGGACGGAGGGAGUAAUAAGCAGUGGCGGACCUAGGCUUGGGCAUCCUAUGUCACGUGACCCACUAAUAUUAAAAAAAUAAAAUAAAUUGAAAACCCAAAAAUCAAAAUCCGCGCGUUCUCUCUCUGGAAGUCUGGAACGCAGCCAACUGAAACCACAAGGCCAAACCCUAAAAACCUUUGUUACCUCCCUCUCCCUCUCUUCGACGUAGGCCCGCAGCCACCAGCCACCAGGCCACCAACCUCAUCCAGUCAUCCGACCACCGAAGUACACCCAGAUCGGCAUGCCGCAGCAGAAACCGAGUCACCGAGGUCGCGGGGAACAGCCGAAGAGGAACCGAGCAGGCGAGCAGGCGAGGCAGUGUCGACUGUCGACCGUCGAGCACCGAGGAAGAGGAGGAGCCGUCGUCGUCGUCGAGCCGAGCACAGAGCACCGUUUUCAACAUUUCAUUAUUUCCGAAUUCCAAGCAACUCGUGAGUGGUGACGGUGACUCACGGACUCGUUGAGGUCUUGAGGACGUGAGGAAUUUGUUGAUUGUAUGGUGAGCGGCGUAGAAUGGUGACCCACCAUCCGUGAAAUCCUGGCUCCGCCACUGCCCACUGGUAAUAAGUGUAAGAAGUUAUUUCAAAAUAUUAUUAUGCAUACAAGUAGUACGGAGUAUUAAGAUUAUGAUUUUUUUCUUACAGAUUUAAGCACAAAAAACACAAACUGAAGUAAUGAAGUAAUGUGUUGGUAUUGACAUUUGAUGAAUGAAAUUAAUGGGGAAAUUACACGGUUACUAAGGCCGGAAGGGUAGAGGUUUCACACCCAAAAAAAAAAAAGGAAAAAAAAAGCAUUAUGUUGGUAUUGACGUUUGAUGGACGAAAUGAAUGGGGAAAAUAAACGAUUAAUUGAACCGCAAUUAAAAGAGGUUAGAGGUUGAACACACAAAAAAAAGCCAAUCAUAAAAAGAGCCUCCUGGGUAUUGAACCCCUAACUUCUAUGAAGUGAGUUAAGUACUUUGCCAUUCUACCAAAGCAUAUUUACAUACAACUUAGCUGAAUAAAAACAGUAUAAUGUUGUGAAAAUUUGAGGCCCCAAUUUUUCGGUGGCCCUGUGCUGUUGGGCUGGAUGCACAGCCAUGUCACCGGGCCUGUAACUAGAGUUAAACGUAAAGAUUGAGAACUUAAGAUGGGAAUUUCAUGUUAAACAACUGCAUUUGCAGUUAAGAUUUUUCCGAACCUAUUUGGAUAGAAGUAUAGAAGAUGCUUCUUUUAUUUAUAUUUUAUUUCUGUGAAAUACAAAAACUCUUUUCAUAUUGCAAAUUUUUUAUUGCAUGCAUUUGAGCAAUUCUUAUUUUGCUUAAGAAAAUUGAUUACACUGCUAUCCUCUUCGCUUAGGCUCAUCUUAAAAGGCUUUUUACAAGAAAUCCAGGGUUCCAAGUCUUUGCAUGCCAUAGAAACUACGAUCUUUGCACAUCUACCAACUGGUAAAGAUCCCCUCGGCGUUGCUUCUCCAACGGGAGAUUAGUCCUAUGUUUUGUUUUGGAGAAAACAAAUCAGAAGAGUGAAAUAAAGAAGAGUUUACAUGAAGUAAUAACGAAAGUGUGUCAAAAGUCCAGUUAAUUUCACCUUCGGAGUUCAAUUGAUGAGUAAUCGAUCUCAGCUAUUAUGAUCUCCUCAUCAUGUUCUGCUGUGGCCAAGAUUUCUCCAAACUGCCAAAUAUCAUCAUCUCAGUUAAGCAAUAACAAUAAUGAUUGAAUUUACAAUAUCAAAACUACUUUCUGUAGACUCUAGCCAACUGUAUGUUGUUUCAUGGAUCUACAUGGUUAAUCUGAUAUCUGGUGGGAUUUCACUGAGAGAGAAUUUAAGAAUGUGAAUUGCAUUUUCUGCGAAAAUAGAGGGGGGAAAUGCAGGUCAUUCA